rnacentral:misc_RNA from 1 species
GAUGAAGAACGCAGCGAAAUGCGAUAAGUAAUGUGAAUUGCAGAAUUCAGUGAAUCAUCGAAUCUUUGAACGCACAUUGCGCCCGCCAGUAUUCUGGCGGGCAUGCCUGUUCGAGCGUCAUUUCAACCCUCAAGCCCAGCUUGGUGUUGGGGAUCGGCACAGGCGCCCUCGGGCGCCCGCCGUCCCCUAAAUCUAGUGACGGUCCCGCUGCAGCCUCCUCUGCGUAGUAGUUUUCUCCUCGCAAGGGCAGCUCGGUGGCGACCUCGCCGUAAAACCCCCAACUUCUGAAAGGUUGACCUCAGAUCAGGUAGGAAUACCCGCUGAACUUAAGCAUAUCAAUAAGCGGAGGA